rnacentral:rRNA from 1 species
CCUACGGGAGGCAGCAGUGGGGAAUUUUGCGCAAUGCUCGUAAGAGUGACGCAGCGACGCCGCGUGAAUGACGAAGGCCUUCGGGUCGUAAAGUUCUUUCGACAGGGAAGAAAAUGCCUAUAAGUAACUGUGUAUGUAUUGACGGUACCUGUAUAAGCAGCCCCGGCUAACUCCGUGCCAGCAGCCGCGGUAAUACGGAGGGGGCGAGCGUUGUUCGGAGGGACUGGGCGUAAAGAGCACGUAGGCGGUGUUGUAAGUCAUUAGUCAAAGACUAGAGCUCAACUUUAGUAAGGCUAGUGAUACUAUAAUACUAGAGUAUCAGAGAGGAUUGCAGAAUUGCUGGUGUAGCGGUGAAAUGCGUAGAUAUCAGGAGGAAUACCGUUAGCGAAGGCGGCAAUCUGGCUGGAAACUGACGCUGAGGUGCGAAAGCGUGGGUAGCAAACAGGAUUAGAUACCCUUGUAGUC